rnacentral:piRNA from 1 species
UGGUAUUCUCACUCAUUGGCUUCUCUA